UCACUAUGAAGGAUGUGGAAAGAAAUUUUUAGAUAGUUCAAAGUUGAAAAGACACUUCUUAAUUCAUACAGGUGAAAGAGAUUUUGUUUGUCCUCAUGAAGGCUGUGGUAAGGCAUUUUCACUGGAUUUCAACCUGAGGUCACACAUGAAAACGCAUUCACAAGAAAACUACCAUAUCUGCCCAUACUCAGAAUGUGGAAAGAGAUAUGCUCAUGAGNUACAAACUGAAGAACCAUAUUUCAGCUCACCAUGAAAAGCAUGCAACUGCAGAUGCAGUGAAAUAUACCACGCCUCCAGAAAAGAUAACUAAAGUUUCCAAGCCUUCAGCAGUGGCGUAUGGCUCUGCAUCAUCGGAUCGUCCUUAUGCUUGUCCUUAUGAAGGUUGUAUAAAGGCCUAUAUCCAUGAAUACAAGCUUAAACUACAUUUAAGAAAAGAGCAUCCUGGCCAUAUGUCUGAUGAAAACGCUGAGAAUGCCUCUCCCAAUGCUGACAAUGAGAUGGAUGAGGCCAGUGAUCAAGAUGCCUAUGCUGAGAAGCGUGUGAAUGGGAAAAGUCGGAAACAGAGCCGGCCCAAGCCCAACUUGAAGAUGCCUCCAUCAAAAAUUACACAACGGAAAGGUGCAAGUCCAUCUCGUGCCAGUUUGAAUGUGGUGAAAAAAUCUUGGCAAGCAAAAGAAGAAACCUACGAGGAAGAAGAUAGUGAAGAGACAGAGGAGGAGGAUCGCGACAAUGCAGAGGAUGGAUGGAGAUAUGGAGAAAACAAUGAGGAUGACGACGAUGAAGAGACGGAGUAUGAAGACUGAAGAGAAACACAGCUAGGGUGCUUUUUUCAUUUUAAAAUUUUUUUUUUAAUUUGUGUUCUUGUAAAAUAGUUCUCUUUUUUCUAUCUCAAAUAAUUCUGAACUUGAAGAAAUUUAUAAAUUUUUAUGCAAUAUUGACUACCGGCAUUGGAACUCUCCCUUUUCCCCUCCC
rnacentral:misc_RNA from 1 species